ACUCUCACUCAUCACAGCUGUUAUUAUUAAAAGCACUCUUCAGUUAACUUCCUGAUGCAAAUUUCAGUCUCAGUCACCUGAGGAAGCCAACCUGGGACAAUUGCUGCCAAAUAUGAUUCUAGGAUGACAACUAUAAAAUGGAAUUUACAAGCUGGAUCAUCACCUAGCUCCAAGAUGAGAAUCCCAUUACUAGUGUACAGUUAUGGUGCAACUAUUUAAAAUCCCACUAAUGGAGAACUGAGAUGGAAAUGAAACCCCAAGGGUAAAAUACUGCCAACAUAAGGUGGUACAAGACGCUAAGGGCCUUGCCAGUAAUAUAAAAAAGACUCAUCUCCUGCAACCAGAGGACAGGAAAACUGCAGAUCGAACCCAGACAGAGCUGCAGAGAGAGCUGACUUCUCCAUACCAGGUUGUUUUUUAAAAUAUAGGCAGUGUUCUGGUUGGGAAGGAGUAGGACAUGGAGACUUGAGAUGGGAACAUGUUGGUUGAUGCAUUAGGAAAACUUGAACCUUUGGAGACGUUCAGACUGCCCUGAAUCCUCUAGCUAUUCAAAAGUAGUCCACUCCUCUCUCUUUAAAGUCUUGCACUCCUCAUUCCACUUUUGCUCAUAUAUGGUACAGAUGCUUUUGUACUUCCAAAAUAACCUAUACCCUUUAUGAUCUGCUCCACAUUUUCUCCUGGCCACCAGUUCAUGGAGAAAGUUAUAACAAUCCAUCAGUGAUAGUUAACCUGCUAAAGGAACUUAAAAACUAUAUAUCAAAGAAGCUGUACCACCUAGUCAACAUUUCUCAGCAGGAGCCAGGAUAGUUUACAUGCAUCCUGGGUAUGCUGUAUCAAGGAGAACAGAAUGUGAAGUUGGAAAGGGAUGAGUUUGUCAAUAUGUGAGCAGUCUCUUGUGAUCCAAGAUUUACACCCCAUCAAGGACCCCAGAAGACAGUGCUAAUAUGUUGCUAGGAUGAUUCUUAGAAGCUUGGACAAAGCAAUAGCCCACACCUAAUGAAGUAGAAUUGAGACAGAUGGCAAAGACAGUAAUCAAAAGAUUCAGAGAAGUGAGGCUGCUAGAUAACAUAUAAUACAUAAUCCAUAAAACCAACCCAUUUAUAAUGUUCUAAGAAAGGGCCUAGAGAGCAAUCCAUUUACCAAAGUGUUAAGUGACAUUCCAGUAAGAUGGGCACUAGCAUCAGUAAGCUCAGUGACAGCUGUCUUUGGUCUUCCAGGGCAAUGAGAGAUUCUGCUAAAGAAUUAGGCUCCCCAAUAACAAUGGACAUGAGAGGAUCCUCAUAUAAAAGAUAUAGGUAACUCAACCCACUGAAAAUAACCCACUUAACUGAAAAAAGCAAGGGGAACACAAUUAUCUUAAUAAAUAGUAAGGUCAAAGUAGUAAUCAAGGAAGCUGACCUCUAAAGAACCAUGGAAAUGGUUAAUAGAACACGGUACUCCAAAUGUCAUGAUAAAUGGGCAGCCUUUGAAAGUAUUGCUCAAGAUGUACAAUGAAAAGAAAUUAAGGAUGGAUGAUCAAGAGGCUAGAGGUGGACAUCUCAAUAAAGAUUCACAAACUUGUCCGAUAUCCAGACCUGAGCCUUUCUCAGUCCUGGAAUACACUGGCUGAUGGAAAUGUCAUGUCUCCAGGAAAAAGAAUUCCAUAACACCAUGAAAGGUUGCUUGGUAAUGAUUAUUACAUAAGGGAUCUCUGUCCAUUUACUCAAAUAACUUCAUACUUGAAAAAGAAAUAUCCAAAUAUUUGGAUGAGAACUGUAGGACAGAGUCCAAAUUGACAUCUUUAUCAAAGCAUCUCAAUGGACCUCUAUUUUAGUGGGGCUAAAUGGGUACAUGCAAUAAGUGGAGUUCUGGUCCAUACCUGCCCACUAUGGGUCCACUGAGGACCAUGGACCUACUCCAUCAUCAUUUCCCUAGUCUCUGGGUGUAUAAUUGGAAUAAAUAUUCUUGGUAGUUGUUAGGACCUAUACACAUCUCCUUUAGUCUGUAGGUUAAGAGCUAUUAUAAGAAAAACCAAGUGGAAGACUAAGAAACAGCCUUCUUACUCUCCUUCCAGCCAAGACUGUAUGCUGGGACAUCCUCUCCAAAAUACCAAGUGGAGAUAUUAAAACUCGACCAAUCUGGAAUAUGUAUUUGAGAUUUUAUAUUUUUAUCUGAGAGAGAGAGCAUGAGUGGG